GAGUAGCCUAGUGGUUAAAGCGUCCGCCUCGAAUGCGGGAGAUCGUAGGUUCGAUCCCGGUCGAGUCAUACCAUAAACU